CACGUAGGAUCCAAGCGUUAUCCGGAUUUACUGGGCGUAAAGCGUGUGCAGGUGGUUUUCUAAGUUGGUUGUUAAAGCUUCCGGCUCAACUGAGAGUUGUCGCUCAAAACUAGCAGACUAGAGGCAGGUAGAGGGAGGUGGAAUUCCGGGUGUAGUGGUGAAAUGCGUAGAUAUCGGGAGGAACACCAGUGGCGAAGGCGGCCUCCUGGCCCGUUCCUGACACUCAGACACGAAAGCUAGGGUAGCAAACGGG
rnacentral:misc_RNA from 1 species